rnacentral:sRNA from 1 species
UAGCUCAGUUGGUAGAGCAGUUGACUUUUAAUCAAUUGGUCGCAGGUUCGAAUCCUGCACGACCCACCAAUUUUCAGCAUUUAACUCAGAUGCUGAACGUGAAGGAUAACGUUGCGUCAGCAACGCCCGAAGGGCGAGGCAAAGCCGAGUCAUCCUGCACGACCUACCA